rnacentral:tRNA from 1 species
UCUCUGAUGGCUCAGAUGGUAAAGAAUCUGCCUGCAAUGUGGGAGGCCCAGGUUCGAUCCCUGGUCAGGAAG